rnacentral:rRNA from 1 species
AUUGAACGCUGGCGGCAUGCUUUACACAUGCAAGUCGAACGGUAGGGUAGCAAUACCUGAGAGUGGCGAACGGGUGAGUAAUGCAUCGGAACAUGCCUAUUAGUGGGGGAUAGCCCGGCGAAAGCCGGAUUAAUACCGCAUACGAUCUAAGGAUGAAAGCAGGGGACCGCAAGGCCUUGCGCUAAUGGAGUGGCCGAUGUCAGAUUAGCUAGUUGGUGGGGUAAAGGCUCACCAAGGCGACGAUCUGUAGCUGGUUUGAGAGAACGACCAGCCACACUGGGACUGAGACACGGCCCAGACUCCUACGGGAGGCAGCAGUGGGGAAUUUUAGACAAUGGCGCAAGCCUGAUCCAGCAAUGCCGCGUGCAGGAUGAAGGCCU